rnacentral:lncRNA from 1 species
AUGUUUGGUACCUUAUCAGAAGAGGCAGAAGUAAUGGUGCCGGCGAGCAAAGCUUGGGCUCUCUAUGGUACGCUUGAGCUCGCAAAGCUCGUCACAGGAAAAGUCGUUGAAGCGGUUGAAGUUGUUGAAGGUGACGGUGGGGUUGGUACCAUUCUCAAGCUUACUUUUAACCCUGGGCUAGGUUUCUCUUAUUGUAAAGAGAAGUUCACAAAGGUGGAUAACAUACAUAUGGUCAAAGAAACCGAAGUGAUGGAAGGGGGGUUUCUUGAUAUGGGAUUUAAUCUUUAUAUUAUACGGAUUGAAAUCAAAGAGAAUCCAAAGGAUGGUUCGGGCUCUUCGUGUCUUGUGAAAUUAACACUUGAAUACGACGUUAAGGAAGAGUUUGUGGCUAAUGCUUCUCUGGUCACCAACAGGAAUCUCCUUGGCAUAAUGAAUGUUGCAAAUGAACAUCUUUUGAAAUCAAAUUAGCACCGCUUUAGUGUGGGGGCACUCAUCUCCUUGGCUUUGAUUUUUGAAAUAGGGGAAGAAUAGCUUGUUAGAAAAAUAUUACCAUCAAUGACUCACUAAUGUUCUUGUGGUACCAUAAAAGACAUGUUUGUAUGUAAACUCUACUUGGAUGUAAGCUAUGAGGUACAUAGAUUGUUCAUGUUAAUAAAACAUAUAGGACUAUUGUUA